rnacentral:ncRNA from 2 species
AUCGACACUCUGGAAAGCGGAUGGGCGGCCUAUCGGCCGGUCAUCCCACCGAAGGGGUAAGCCGGACCGUCUCAGGUGCGGCGAAAGCUCUCAGGUUCCGUGACAGAGGGGGCCAU